rnacentral:lncRNA from 1 species
AUACCAGGCACUAAUGAGUUUUUUUAUGAGACCUAUCUUUUGAGUAUUUAUUUAUUAUUAAUAGUAGAACUAGGUUGCUAUGCUAUUUAUAGCACUAAGUUAUUAGUUUUAUUGGGUUUUCGGCCUGAUUCUCUAGGGUUGAAUGAAUGAUUCGUCGAAUAAUAUGAUCUAACGGAUGAAAAUGAUCAACGGAAUAGAUCUAACGAUUAAAAAUUUAGUAAUACCAAGUACUUAGUGCUAUAAAUAGCAUAGUAACCAAACACGUACUUAUUAAUUAGUAUUCUUAUUAUUAUUAUUUUUGCAGCUUCUACAUCCUUCUGU